CAGUCGCCGCGGGAAUACGAAGGGUGCAAGCGUUAAUCGGAAUUACUGGGCGUAAAGCAUGCGUAGGCGGUGAGUUAAGUCUGCUGUGAAAUCCCCGGGCUCAACCUGGGAAUGGCAGUGGAUACUGGCUCGCUAGAGUGUGUCAGAGGAUGGUGGAAUUCCCGGUGUAGCGGUGAAAUGCGUAGAGAUCGGGAGGAACAUCAGUGGCGAAGGCGGCCAUCUGGGACAACACUGACGCUGAGGCACGAAAGCGUGGGGAGCAAACAGGAUUAGAUACCCCAGUAGUCCCUGUCUCUUAUAC
rnacentral:rRNA from 1 species